rnacentral:lncRNA from 1 species
CGAGCUUGAUACUCCUCCCGAUUUUAGCACCCAAAAAUCACCCCGAUUCUUGAGACGCAUCAAGGAUAUUUACUAGCCAGACUUCCAUGGUGCAUUGAUCUGCCACAGGAGAACUAAAUCUCUCGUACCUCUUGAUUAUUGCUAGUGAGAGCAGCAGGAGCUUGAUGGUGCAGAACUACCACUUUCUGUUCUAUCUGGAAGCGUCCCAGUUGUCACCGCACCAAAUGCCACGAACUUUCAAUUGUUAUCUAGGGCAUAAAAUGAGUAACUAUCACAAAUAUUCUUUUGCAUAGCUCGAACCAAGGCACCACUGGACUACUGAUCUUUCAUAACAUUAUUAAGAAAGGAAGGCUUUAAUGUGAAAAAAGCAUGAUCUUGUCCAUAA